GAUGAACGCUAGCUACAGGCUUAACACAUGCAAGUCGAGGGGUAACGAGAGGAAAGCUUGCUUUCCUUGUCGACGACCGGCGCACGGGUGAGUAACGCGUAUCCAACCUGCCCCCAACUAGGGAAUAACCUUGCGAAAGUAAGACUACUACCCUAUAAUUUCCUCAGAUGUCAUCUGACGAGGAAUAAAGAUUUAUCGGUUGUGGAUGGGGAUGCGUCUGAUUAGCUUGUUGGCGGGGUAACGGCCCACCAAGGCAACGAUCAGUAGGGGUUCGGAGAGGAAGGUCCCCCACAUUGGAACUGAGACACGUUCCAAACUCUUACGGGAGGCAGCAGUGAGGAAUAUUGGUCAAGGGGCGGAAGCCUGAACCAGCCAAGUAGCGUGCAGGAUGACGGCCCUAUGGGUUGUAAACUGCUUUUAUACAGGAAUAAAGUUAGCCACGUGUGGUUAUUUGUAGGUACUGUAUGAAUAAGGACCGGCUAAUUCCGUGCCAGCCGCCGCCGUAA
rnacentral:rRNA from 1 species